UCUACAAUUUUAGUAAAUAAAUACAUGAAGCCUUUAGAAAGUACAGAAAAUGCAGCCCUAGUUGAUAAAAACCUGGUGGAUGAAAUGUUUUACAAAAUACCAGAAAUCCUCACACAUCAUGAGAGUUUUUUGGAGUCUGUUCGCCAAAGAAUUUCUUACUGGGAUAGCAAACAGAAGAUUGGAGACUUAUUUGUAGACG